rnacentral:rRNA from 1 species
UUGAACGCUGGCGGCAUGCUUUACACAUGCAAGUCGAACGGCAGCGCGGGGGCGACCCUGGCGGCGAGUGGCGAACGGGUGAGUAAUAUAUCGGAACAUGUCCGGAAGUGGGGGAUAACGCAGCGAAAGUUGCGCUAAUACCGCAUAUGCCCCGAGGGGGAAAGGGGGGGAUCGCAAGACCUCCCGCUUUCGGAGUGGCCGAUAUCGGAUUAGCUAGUUGGCGGGGUAAAGGCCCACCAAGGCUGCGAUCCGUAGCUGGUCUGAGAGGACGACCAGCCACACUGGGACUGAGACACGGCCCAGACUCCUACGGGAGGCAGCAGUGGGGAAUUUUGGACAAUGGGCGCAAGCCUGAUCCAGCCAUGCCGCGUGAGUGAAGAAGGCCUUCGGGUUGUAAAGCUCUUUCGGGCGGAAAGAAAUCGUGCCCGCCAAUACCGGGUAUGGAUGACGGUACCGCAAGAAGAAGCACCGGCUAACUACGU